UGGGGAAUCUUCCGCAAUGGACGAAAGUCUGACGGAGCAACGCCGCGUGAGUGAAGACGGCCUUCGGGUUGUAAAGCUCUGUUAUUCGGGAAGAACGAUUCGUUUGUGAACAAUGAACGGAAGUGACGGUACCGAAAGAGAAAGCCACGGCUAACUACGUGCCAGCAGCCGCGGUAAUACGUAGGUGGCAAGCGUUGUCCGGAAUUAUUGGGCGUAAAGAGCGCGUAGGCGGUAUGGUAAGUCUGUCUUAGAAGUGCGGGGCUUAACCCCGUGAGGGGACAGAGACUGACAUACUGGAGUCUCGGAGAGGAAAGCGGAAUUCCUAGUGUAGAGGUGAAAUGCGUAGAGAUUAGGAAGAACACCGGUGGCGAAGGCGGCUUUCUGGACGAACACUGACGCUGAGGCGCGAAAGCGUGGGGAGCGAACAGG
rnacentral:rRNA from 1 species